CCAAAGGGUGGGGAAAAGGGGAGACAGGCGCAAGGCCAAGCUACACCCCCUUCCCAUAAUUGAGGAACCCUUUAGUAGGGUAGCAGUCGACUUAAUAGGACCCCUCAACAAAGCGAGCCCGUCAGGCAAAAGAUUUAUCCUGACAGUGGUAGACUAUGUCACUAGAUAUCCAGAGGCGGUGGCCCUGACGAAUAUACAGGCUGAAACAGUAGCGGAAGCCCUUAUGCAGAUAUUCUCCUGGGUGGGACUUCCCAGGGAGAUUGUCUCGGAUCAGGGUACCCAGUUCACCACCGAAGUCACGCAGCGCCUCUGGAGGUUCUGUGACAUCAAGCCUGUCAUUAGUUCCCCUUACCACCCCCAGACGAAUGGGCUCUGCGAACGUUUCAACGGUACAUUGAAACAAAUGCUCCGAACCUUCGCAGAGACCCACAAGGACUGGGAGAAUUCCU